rnacentral:rRNA from 1 species
AACGAACGCUGGCGGCAUGCCUAAUACAUGCAAGUCGAACGAGAUCUUCGGAUCUAGUGGCGCACGGGUGCGUAACGCGAGGGAAUCUGCCCUUGGGUUCGGAAUAACAUCUGGAAACGGAUGCUAAUACCGGAUGAUGACGUACGUCCAAAGAUUUAUCGCCCAGGGAUGAGCCCGCGUAGGAUUAGCAAGUUGGUGGGGUAAAGGCCUACCAAGGCGACAAUCCUUAGCUGGUCUGAGAGGAUGAUCAGCCACACUGGGACUGAGACACGGCCCAGACUCCUACGGGAGGCAGCAGUAGGGAAUAUUGGACAAUGGGGGCAACCCUGAUCCAGCAAUGCCGCGUGAGUGAUGAAGGCCUUAGGGUUGUAAAGCUCUUUUACCCGGGAUGAUAAUGACAGUACCGGGAGAAUAAGCCCCGGCUAACUCCGUGCCAGCCGCCGCAGUAA